AGGCACAGUAACAUGUGCCUGUAGUCCCAGAUACUCAGGAGAAUAAGGCAGGAGGAUUGCUUGAGCCCAGGAGUUCAAGGACAGCCUGGGAAACAUAGUAAGAACCUU
rnacentral:sRNA from 1 species